CAAGUUAGAGUGUACUGUCAACCUCAUCUUUACAUUUCAGCUCUUGUGCAAUACAUUCAGCCUUUAUACAGCUCUCAUAGCUGUGUAUCUGGGAUAUCGAAAUAUCUCAAAUGAAACCAAAUGUUUACAGAAGUUCACUUUGCUACUGUGUAAAAUCACUCUCAUUUCUCUCUGCCAAGUAGUCCGUGAGGUGAGAACAGGGCUGUUUACUGCACAAAUGCAAAAUUGAGUACAAGAGGAAACAACAGAGGAACAAAAUUCAGACCUGAGUCCUGGUGGAAGUUCCAUGAUAUUAGUUCCACUGAAGCUUUUAUUUGAGACGUUGGCAAUUUUGCUCUUCAGAUCCCUGACACCAGCUGGAAUUUUCAGUUGUACACGGAGAAUCCAUGGUCUUCAGUCAUUCCUUGAACUUCAGAAAAUUCACUCAGGUCUGGAAGAAGGAUAUGUUCCUUGAAGGGUGCCAGAUGGUGAAGCUCCAAUGGCCAGCCUGCCUCCUCUAACUGCUACAAAGAGAAUUUUCAGGAAGAAUCCAACCCAUCUCAUAUAGGCCUUGAACAGUAAUGCUCACAAUGUUUGGACACUUCAGAGAACAUAACUUUCAAUGUCUACAGAUACUCUCUUGGAUGAGCCAAAUGACUACCCUUAGAUUAUAAGUGUGAUGUAGACCAAAGGCACAUACACACGGUGUUGCUUCAGCUCAGAGAAUCAGCAGUAGCAUGAUGGAAUGGCCACUUGAAGACCCAUCCCAGGUGAUUUGAAUGAGCAACUCACAUCAGCGCAGACCUCUCAAAAGUGAUGUUUACAAGACUGUUAUGUUCAACAAUUUCCAAGCUGUUUCCAAUUGUGACUGCGCUUCCAGUUGAGAUACACUUGCAGAAACAAUUUAAUUUCUUUCAGAUGAAUGCUCCUUCUCACAAUGAUUAUCUAUGGAAUUGCUGUCUCUACUGUUUCCC
ensembl:lncRNA